AAGUCGUAACAAGGUCUCCGUAGGUGAACCUGCGGAGGGAUCAUUAACACGUUUAAACAACGUUUAACUAUAUACCAACCAACCGCGUGAAUUCAAUUGAAUUAUUAUACCCGACUUGAAAGUGAGAGAACCUGUCUAGUUUACACGGAGUGAUGAGUGUGUUUCAUUUAUUUGAAACAUACGGUGUAUCUGGGCUUGUAAUGCUUUGACAUUACGGGACUAUUUCUCUUUCAAGCUAUCAACAACUAAUCAAUGUUCCCUUCAUCGCUGGAACGAACAAACCCCUUUCACCCCUUUAUAACUAACUAGACUGAUAGUAAUUCUCGUAUAAUUAGGCGCAAGCUUGUUGUAUGUUUGAAUUCCAAUAUUAAUCAAAUAUCUAAGCACAACUCUUAGCAACGGAUAUCUUGGUUCUC
rnacentral:misc_RNA from 1 species